rnacentral:rRNA from 1 species
GGGCCCCCCCCCCUGGGGGGCACAAUUUCGAAAAAUUUCCAAAAACGGAAAUUUAAAAGGUUUUUCCGGGUCCCAUUCCGUGGAGGAGGGUUUUACCCCAUUUAGAACGUGGGGGGAUAAGGAAGAGGCAAAGAUGGUGUCAGCGCCCCGGUAAUACCAGCUCUCCGAGUGGUGUGGAUGUUUAUGGGGCCUAAAGCAUCCGUAGCUGGCUGGGCAAGUCCCCUGUUAAAUCCACCGAUUUAAUCGUUGGUGUGCGGGGGAUACUGUUCGGCUAGGGGACGGGAGAGGCAGACGGUAUUUUCGGGGUAGGGGUGAAAUCCUAUAAUCCCGGAAAGACCACCAGUGGCGAAGGCUGUCUGCUAGAACGCGCCCGACGGUGAGGGAUGAAAGCUGGGGGAGCGAACCGGAUUAGAUACCCGGGUAGUCCCAGCUGUAAACGAUGCAGGCUAGGUGUUUGGACGGCCACGUGCCGUUCUAGUGCCGCAGGGAAGCCGUUAAGCCUGCCGCCUGGG